rnacentral:rRNA from 1 species
UACAGAGGUCUCGAGCGUUAGGCGGAAUCACUGGGCUUAAAGCGUGUGUAGGCGGCGGGCUAAGUACCUUGUGAAAUCCCACGGCUUAACUGUGGAACUGCUGGGUAUACUGGUUCGCUUGAGCCACUCAGGGGCUACCGGAACAAGCGGUGGAGCGGUGAAAUGCGUAGAUAUCGCUUGGAACGCCAAUGGUGAAAACAGGUAGCUGGGGGUGUGCUGACACUGAGACACGAAAGCCAGGGGAGCAAACGGG